rnacentral:rRNA from 1 species
UACGUAGGCAGCGAGCGUUAAUCGGAAUUACUGGGCGUAAAGCGUGCGUAGGCGGUUUGUUAAGUCUGCUGUGAAAUCCCCGGGCUCAACCUGGGAAUGGCAGUGGAUACUGGCAAGCUAGAGUGUGUCAGAGGAUGGUGGAAUUCCCGGUGUAGCGGUGAAAUGCGUAGAGAUCGGGAGGAACAUCAGUGGCGAAGGCGGCCAACUGGACGAGUACUGACGCUGAGACACGAAAGCGUGGGGAGCAAACAGG